rnacentral:rRNA from 1 species
AUCGAACGCUGGCGGCAGGCUUAACACAUGCAAGUCGAGCGAGCGGCGGACGGGUGAGUAAUGUCUGGGAAACUGCCUGAUGGAGGGGGAUAACUACUGGAAACGGUAGCUAAUACCGCAUACCAUCAGAUGUGCCCAGAUGGGAUUAGCUAGUAGGUGGGGUAAUGGCUCACAUAGGCGACGAUCCCUAGCUGGUCUGAGAGGAUGACCAGCCACACUGGAACUGAGACACGGUCCAGACUCCUACGGGAGGCAGCAGUGGGGAAUAUUGCACAAUGGGCGAAAGCCUGAUGCAGCAAUGCGGCGUGUGUGAAGAAGGCCUGCGGAUUGUAAAGCACUGUCGGCGGGGAGGCGUUACUCGCAGAGAAAGCACCGGCUAACUCCGUGCCAGCCGCCGCGGUAAUUC